UACGUAGGGUCCGAGCGUUGUCCGGCGUGACUGGGCGUAAAGCGCGCGCAGGCGGCCCGCGAGGUGUCCUGUGAAAGCCCCGUGCUCAACGCGGGAGGGUCAGGGCAAACCGGCGGGCUUGAGGCCGGUAGAGGUGGGUGGAACUCCUGGUGGAGUGGUGAAAUGCGUAGAGAUCAGGAAGAACACCCGUGGCGAAGGCGGCUCACUGGCCCGGUUCUGACGCUGAGGUGCGAAAGCGUGGGGAGCAAACAGG
rnacentral:rRNA from 1 species